UUCUAUCUCACAGUUUACAUUCUAUUCGAAAAUGAUCCGGUAAUGACCGGAUCACCCGGACUGGUCUCCAUUUCUCACCCCGAAUUAUCAACCUUUUAAUCGACCAUAAUUCCCCUGUAUCAUUACCUCGAUUUCGGCGAUUCAACUUGCGACCUUAUUACAUCUUGCGUUUUUCGGAGCCUCAUACACUACUUUUUUUCGGGUUUACACCAAAAGUUUUUCCCCUUGCACGGCAUCGGAUCUGAUUUUACAAAUAAACGGCGUUCAACAAUAUAGACUGGGCGGUAUUCAUGGACAGCAAAAUUGGGAGAUACCAGGAUCUUAGAACCUUUUGACUUCGCGGUCACUUUUCUUUCUUAUUUUCAUCAACUCUUUCAUUUAACUUUUCCCCAUCUUCAUCACUUUGUCAAUUGAGAUACUCAUGUACAAUAUUUGGAAGCAUCGCGGGGCACAGGAUAUCUACACCUUUUUGUUUAUUUUCUUUUUGCCCGUCAGUGGCCUGUUUGGCUUUAUAUCAUACUAUUAAUUGUUUGGUUUCAUUAUGGAGGAUUUCAAGGGUUAGCGGACAUGUAUUCACGACAUUUUCCUUUUUCUAUCUAUUUCAUACACCACUGCAUUCGCGGCUGGGUUGCAGCUAUCUCUUUACACUUUAGACAUAUUUCAACAUUUAUCCUCAGCUAGACUUCAAUGAUAUC
rnacentral:lncRNA from 1 species